GUUUGCUUUGGUAGUACAUAUAUUAAAAUUGGAAUAAUACAGAGAAGAUUAGCAUGGCCUCUACGCAACAAUGGUGCACAAAAUCGUGAAACGUCCCAUUUUUUU